UAAGGAAUAUUGGUCAAUGGACGCAAGUCUGAACCAGCCAUGCCGCGUGAAGGAUGAAGGUCCUCUGGAUUGUAAACUUCUUUUAUCUGGGACGAAAACGGGAUUUUUAUCUCAAUUGACGGUACCAGAGGAAUAAGCACCGGCUAACUCCGUGCCAGCAGCCGCGGUAAUCCGGAGGGUGCGAGCGUUAUCCGGAUUUACUGGGUUUAAAGGGUGCGUAGGUGGGCUUAUAAGUCAGUGGUGAAAUCUCCGAGCUUAACUUGGAAACUGCCGUUGAUACUAUAUGUCUUGAAUUAUCUGGAGGUAAGCGGAAUAUGUCAUGUAGCGGUGAAAUGCUUAGAUAUGACAUAGAACACCAAUUGCGAAGGCAGCUUACUACA
rnacentral:rRNA from 1 species